GGCGGGAGGCAGGAUGAGCGCA
rnacentral:misc_RNA from 1 species